GUAGCACUCCCUCCGUCCGACGAAGAAUGUCUCAAUUUUGAUUAAAUUUGAAUGCCUCUAUACACUAAGUUAUGUUUAGAUACAUUCAAAUUUUGACAAACUUGAGACAUCUUUUGUUGGACGGAGAAAGUACUAA
rfam:Brachypodium distachyon strain Bd21 chromosome 4, whole genome shotgun sequence.